GGGCCUAUAGCUCAGUUGGUUAGAGCAGCGGACUCAUAAUCCGUUGGUCCCAGGUUCGAGUCCUGGUGGGCCCACCA
rnacentral:tRNA from 2 species